rnacentral:rRNA from 1 species
CAUCGAUGAAGAACGUAGCGAAUUACGAUAUGUAAUGUGAAUUGCAGAAUUCCCGUGAAUCAUCGAAUCUUUGAACGCACCUUGCGCUCUUUGGUAUUCCGAAGAGCAUGCCUGUUUGAGUGUCAU